rnacentral:rRNA from 1 species
UACGAAGGGUGCAAACGUUUGCUCGGAAUUAUUGGGCGUAAAGCGCACGUAGGCGGCUUGGCAAGUCGGAUGUGAAAUCCCUCGGCUCAACCAAGGAAGUGCAUCCGAAACUGCUGAGCUUGAGUACUUAAGAGGAUCGCGGAAUUCCCGGUGUAGAGGUGAAAUUCGUAGAUAUCGGGGAGGAACACCAGUGGCGAAGGCGGCGUCUGGGAAGAUACUGACGCUGAGGUGCGAAAGCGUGGGGAGCAAACAGGG